AUUGAACGCUGGCGGCAGGCCUAACACAUGCAAGUCGAACGAGUGGCGGACGGGUGAGUAAUGCCUGGGAAACUGCCCGCUGGAGGGGGAUAACUACUGGAAAUGGUAGCUUAUAUCGCAUACUAUCGGCUGUGCCCAGAUGGGAUUAGCUAGUAGGUGGGGUAACGCCUCACCUAGGCCACGAUCCAUAGCUGGUCUGAGAGGAUGACCAGCCACGCUGGAACUGAGACACAGUCCAGACUCCUACGUGAGGCAGCAUUGGGGAAUAUUGCGCAAUAGGCGCAAGCCUGAUGCAGCCAUGCCGCGUGUAUGAAGAAAGCCUUCGGGUUGUAAAGUACUUUCAGCGAGGAGACGUUACUCGCAGAAGAGGCACCGGCUAACUCCGUACCAGCAACCGCGGUAGUUC
rnacentral:rRNA from 1 species